GACGAACGCUGGCGGCGUGCUUAACACAUGCAAGUCGAACGGAAAGGCCCUGCUUUUGUGGGGUGCUCGAGUGGCGAACGGGUGAGUAACACGUGAGUAACCUGCCCUUGACUUUGGGAUAACUUCAGGAAACUGGGGCUAAUACCGGAUAGGAGCUCCUGCUGCAUGGUGGGGGUUGGAAAGUUUCGGCGAUUGGGGAUGGACUCGCGGCUUAUCAGCUUGUUGGUGGGGUAGUGGCUUACCAAGGCUUUGACGGGUAGCCGGCCUGAGAGGGUGACCGGCCACAUUGGGACUGAGAUACGGCCCAGACUCCUACGGGAGGCAGCAGUGGGGAAUAUUGCACAAUGGGCGGAAGCCUGAUGCAGCAACGCCACGUGCGGGAUGACGGCCUUCGGGUUGUAAACCGCUUUCGCCUGUGACGAAGUGUGAGUGACGGUAAUGGGUAAAGAAGCACCGGCUAACUACGUG
rnacentral:rRNA from 1 species